rnacentral:piRNA from 1 species
UGCUGUAAGAUGUGACUGUCCAGUUAUGGU